rnacentral:rRNA from 1 species
CAGCAGCCACGGUAAUACAGAGGGUGCGAGCGUUAAUCGGAUUUACUGGGCGUAAAGCGUGCGUAGGCGGCUUCUUAAGUCGGAUGUGAAAUCCCUGAGCUUAACUUAGGAAUUGCAUUCGAUACUGGGAAGCUAGAGUAUGGGAGAGGAUGGUAGAAUUCCAGGUGUAGCGGUGAAAUGCGUAGAGAUCUGGAGGAAUACCGAUGGCGAAGGCAGCCAUCUGGCCUAAUACUGACGCUGAGGCACGAAAGCAUGGGGAGCAAACAGGAUUAGAUACCCCAGUAGUCCCUGUCUCUUAUAA